rnacentral:lncRNA from 1 species
CUGGUGUUGUGAAUUAUUUAACACAGUCUUCACUUCAUGAAUGAAGUUUUCACAUAUCAUUCCCUCCAAAGGGGCAUUAUCCUUUAGAUGUUGUCCAUUAAAAAUCUGGGUUAUGGUCCUGAGUCUACCAGUGACCAGCAUCAGCAAAUCACUGACCUCUGCCUGACAUAUCCACUACCCUUUUACUUCUUUCAGCUCCCAUAAUAAUCAAAUUUUCAGUAUUCUGACACCAACACUCCAAGAAGGGACCCAUCCCAUGAAGGCGACUCAUGACCAGAUUCUGUCAGUGGGUACAAGCAAUGUUUGGAGAUGAUACCUCAGAUCCACAGUACAAUGAAGAAUCCUCUGGAAAUUCUUCUCCAGGAUACAUUUGAGAUGGUCACACUGCAGACUGCCUUGCAAACAGGCCCUUCCAGAUCCAGGAGUCUGAGUGAGCUGGAUGCCACAGCCUUAGACAAAGUUCAUGUCCUGACUGCAACCUGCAAGCCCACAAGCAAAGAAGUUUCAACUGGGAAUUCAGUUGAAGUUGAUGAGAACUGAAGCUAAACUGCCUUUUGGGGGGGAAUCUAAGGGGCACCUAGACUUGUCCAUUUUCUAAAUUUUCAGUCAUACAAGAAAAUAAUUUUAUGCUUUGUAUCCUUUUUAAUUUCAACUUUUAUUUUUCUGUGAGGCACUGAGGAGAAAACUGCUGGUAGUGAAGGAGUUAGACAGAAAAUCUUCACUCAGAGUGCCUCAGCCACAACGGAGAUGUUCUUGCACUCCGUAUUUCACACAACAGCUCAGAAAGAUGAAGUUUGUGUAACAAAUGCAGAUAAAGUUAUCAUCGCCUAUCUCUACAACAUACAAUUACUUUGAUUCAUGCAAUCUGCCUCUAUGAUGAGAUGUCUCACAGUAACAGCAUAAUAACCACUAAAAUAACCAUUUAGUUAUUAAAGCUAGCUGAUUCUAAGUUUGCUUUAAUGAAAAGCUUCAGAUCAUCUGGUUUGAUAUCUGUUGGCGAAAGAACUCUUCUUGGCAGUGAACUCACAGAACAGACACAAGGGAGACUUGUUUCAGGCCUAGCAUCAGUAAAAGGAAAGGAAAAAUAUAAGGAAAGUAUUCUUCAUGGUCAGUAUGUCACUGCAGAAAGUGGAGUGAUUCGGCGGUAGAGAAGAGAGAUUCUUCCAUGUAAGAGCAUGUUCUCUGUAGGAGGUUAAUAAAAGGUGAUCCUACAGAAAUUUGCA